GGAGAGAGAAGAGAGAGAGAGAGAGAGAGAGAGAGAGAGAGAGAGAGUUAUAACCCACAAAAAAACAAAACAGAAGACGACUUUUUCUUCUUUCUCUCUUCUCUCUUCUUCUUCUUCUUCUUCUUCUUCUUUUCUCUCU
rnacentral:miRNA from 1 species